AUUGAACGCUGGCGGCAUGCUUUACACAUGCAAGUCGAACGGCAGCGCGGGCUUCGGCCUGGCGGCGAGUGGCGAACGGGUGAGUAAUACAUCGGAACGUGCCCAGUAGUGGGGGAUAGCUCGGCGAAAGCCGGAUUAAUACCGCAUACGACCUGAGGGUGAAAGCGGGGGAUCUUCGGACCUCGCGCUCUUGGAGCGGCCGAUGGCAGAUUAGCUAGUUGGUGGGGUAAAGGCCUACCAAGGCGACGAUCUGUAGCUGGUCUGAGAGGACGACCAGCCACGCUGGGACUGAGACACGGCCCAGACUCCUACGGGAGGCAGCAGUGGGGAAUUUUGGACAAUGGGCGAAAGCCUGAUCCAGCAAUGCCGCGUGUGUGAUGAAGGCCUUCGGGUUGUAAAGCACUUUUGGCGGGAACGAAAAGGACUGUGCCAAUACCACGGUUCGAUGACGGUACCCGCAGAAUAAGCACCGGCUAACUACGUG
rnacentral:rRNA from 1 species